CUUAAAUUGUCAAACGACAAACAACGUGUACUCGUGAUUUGUGAACAGUUUUUUUUAUAUAUAAAGAAGAAACUAGUAUUGUGUUUUAAAAUGUCUAAUUGUGCAGGACAUUUUUUAAGAAGAUUACUGGAAAGAUAAUGAUGUGUUGAAACCUUAAUGUACAAUUUGUCACUGAUUACAAUAGUCAGUAUUGGUUUAUCAAGCUACAUAUCAAUAUGUCAUUUAUGAUUAUUCAGUUACUAGUUAGAUGAAGAAAAUAUUGCUUUCUACUUGGAAUCUUAGAAGAAUAAAAUAUUAGCAUUUAACACAACCAUACUCAACCAGCGGCCCCUGGGCUGCAUACAGCCCGCCGAUUAUUUUUAUGUGGCCCAAAAAG